CCAUGGUAGCAUAGCAGUUAGCACAAUGCUAUUACAGCUGGGACGUUCCAGAGUUCAGAGUUCAUUUCCAGCACUUUUCUGCAAGGAGCCUCUGUACAUUCUCCCCGUGGAAUGCGUGGAUUUUCUCUGUGUCUUCCAGUUUCCUCCCACAGUCCAAAGGCGUACUGGGUUAUGUAUUGCAUUGAACUGCUGCUGCUAAGUUAACAAAUUUCACGUCACGUGCCGGUGAUAGUAAACCUGAUUCUGAUUCGGAAUUGGAUAGCCCACAGAUGGAGAGUAUUCUGCAUGGAGACGCUGCCUGGCCUGCUGAGUUCUUCCAGCAUUUGGUCUGUAUUACCUGGAUUUUCAGCAUCUGCAGAUUUUCUCUUGUUUCCAAAUGACUUCUGCUAUUUUGGU